GCCCAUUCUGCAGAACACAUACUUCUGCUCUUCUAAUUAAAUUUCUAUGAACACUUUCUAACGUAUUCGAUUGUUUUAAAGUAUGAAAGGUUACAAUAAAGUGCACGCGUACCGAGCGAAAAUUCAAAGUCGAUUUUCUCGAAAACAAAGCCUCAAAAGAAAAAUUUGUAUUCUAUAUUUUCGACUUCUUUUUUCGCGUAGAAUCACCCCCUUUCCGCUUGUACCACCAGUUAUCAACCACCCGGUAUAAA
rnacentral:misc_RNA from 1 species